rnacentral:tRNA from 1 species
UGUUUACCGGCGUGGCCUUCGAUGCCGGCGCGCUGUGGGAGCGCGCCGGCUACCCGGGCUGGCGGCGCGCCGUGCUGCCGGCGCUGGGCGU